AGGAUGGAGCCGAAGAUACCUGGUCUGGUGUGCUCCCGGGGCCUGCUGAGUUGCUGUCCUCGGUCAUACAGACUUGACAUAUAUUUUGGUCAUUUGUCAUUUGAAAUUGCUAUAUGUGACGCUGUGACAUCACUGACCACCGACUGAACUUUUUAACCUUCCCCAACAAUCUCAGCUGAACACGUAGCUUGUCAAAGCAUCAUUAGUAUGUGCCGGCGCUACCAACGAGUAUGACAGCAUUCUUUUGGUCACUCUUUUUUGUCAUUUCUCCAGGCGGUUCAAUCCACUUCAAAGUGUAAUUAAGUAGUCAUUACGCAGGAAUGAGAGUCAAAUAUCUUUCCUGUUCUGUAAAGAUAAAGACACAGACAUAACGUACAGCAGGAGAAUCGCUGUCAUCUUUUUUUUUUUUUUCUCCAACCCUCUUAAUGAAACUGAAUCAAAACAGUAUCCCUCUAUGUUCCUUUCCCAGGGCUUCUGGGCCGCUUACAGCUGCAACAACAGUUUUGUGGUUUGUACACAAACAUUCAUCUCACGAUGCUUGUCAUGCAAACAUGUCCGCAGGCCGGUAAUGCUUUCAUUUAUUACCGUACACGAUAAACAGUCGCAAUGUCCAAUGUAGGAUUAUUUUUUUUAAGACAUCAUAAUGCUCCAAAAUGCACCCCCCAAAAAAGUGCAAAAGAUUUCUUUAUUUCCCCAAAAUAAAACAAAAGAGUCGAGGAUGUUGUUAGCAAAGCUCUGAAGCCGUUCUGUCGCGUGACAUAUUGUCAUUUCAUACAACAAUUCCCUCGAUUGCAAUUCAUUAUUGCCCUUCUAACAUUCUACACAUGAAUUCAUCAAUGCGUUAUUUCAGUUUGUGUACAAAUGGUCUUGUCAUGAUAUCAGACGUGGGCAAACUUGAGCGCCAAGUGCCACAUUUGGUUUUUAACGUGGACAGAUAGGCCAAAGUCAUUUCUGAUGAGGUAAGUAAAUAAAUAAAUGAAAAGUUGAUUGUGAUAAUAAGAAUAAUUCAUUCUCCUUUUUAAAUUGUAUUACUUGUUUAAUUAAUUGACCAUCAUUUCAUAAAAAUAUUUGAAACCAUAUUACCGUAAUUUCCCAAUCCACAAUCAAAUAAAAUAAUCAAUGAUAUACUGUGAGAAAUUAAUUGGCCAAUUUGGGGAAUUUAUUUAUUCAUUUAUUUAUUUAUUUAUCGACAGGAGUCUUGAUAAUGUCAAUGCUUGGUUGCCCGGUUAUCAGAUCGAAGCCGGUUGUUAGCAGCACGCGGAAAAUACUUUCUCUACCCCCGCAUUGCUGUACUGGAGACGAAAUGCAUAUGGAUUAUAAGCACUUGAAAGAUACAUGAAAACAUAUAAAAUGGUGUUGUUUAUGUGACAGAUUCCCCUUUGAACAGUGAGAGGCAGCUAGGCUAACAUGUGGGUCAACAUCAAAAGCGCGAUUAUGCAGGGGGGGGAAAUAUGCUCAGCGGAUUUCUUUGAAUUUUUUUUUUUCGUUUUGUUUUUUUUGCAGCGUUUAGGCAAGGGAAAGAUUUGGUGUGGAUCCAAGAUAUUUCUUUGUGACAUGAUGGGAAAACACCACAAGAAAAACCACAGGAGACGAUGGAAAAACCCCCAACUUGGAUAAACGUGACAGUUGCGUCAUGGAGUUCAUCCGGCGUCAAGCGAAAACUCUGGCGAAAUUGCCACAUCGGAGCCGGAACAGUGGGCCCGACAUUUUUGGGAUUUGGUCUUUGGUGGCAUCUGAUUUGAGGCUGUCGAUUGCUUGGUCAAUGUGGUCCAAUCCCCAUUUUGUUUUGCCCACAGUGCAUUGCAAAUCAUGUAAGGAAAAAAAAAGAUUCUGGCAACACCCAUGGGGUAAAAC